rnacentral:rRNA from 1 species
AACGAACGCUGGCGGCAGGCUUAACACAUGCAAGUCGGACGCAUGUCUUCGGACAUGAGUGGCAGACGGGUGAGUAACGCGUGGGAAUCUACCCUUUGGUACGGGAUAGCUCCGGGAAACUGGGAUUAAUGCCGUAUGUGCCCUGGACUUAAGGUUUGGGGAAGGAUUGAUCGCCAAGGAGUGAGCCCGCGUCGGAUUAGCUAGUUGGUGGGGUAAAGGACCCACCAAGGACGACGAUCCGUAGCUGGUCUGAGAGGAUGACCAGCCA